GCUGAUAACACAUUUAUUCGACAGACAAUUCAGUUACCGUACAACUCCCGAGGGAGUGGGCGUGAAAGCCACGCAGCGAUAAACAGUAAAUAAAUAACGGCGGCUAACCAAGCGACUGCCAAAAGACAGCACUUGGGACUACACGGCAGCAGCAGCAUCUUGGGCAGGACAACACCACAGGCAGCGUCGGGUGCGGACACAACCUCUACUCGAGGUCCUCUGCGACGAAAUCCGGGUCUUCCUCUGUAGCAAUGAAGCAAGGGUGAGUACUAGCGUACUCAACAAGUCCAACCCCAUCCACGGAGGGGAUACAAGCAAGUUUAUGCACAAGUAUAACAAGGAUAGGCUAGAGUUUAUUUGCGGUAAAGCUAAAUUUUCCACACAUGCAAGGGUUUGUUUUCAAAAGAGGUCUUUGUAAAGCUUUCCUUUAGUACCCGGAGCACUGAGUGGGGUUGACCCUACACAAAGGAUCCAAGGUUUUAUCGCUAUCAGACUCCCCGUCCGUCAUAGCGCACGGCACAACUGCCGGACUCUUCUGAAAUCCCCCCCACACACACACACAUGACAUUCUUGCCCAAACUCUAGUUAUGUGACCAAGCCGUAAUUCGUCCAAUGCCGUGGACACGGCUACCCGGAUAGGUUUUAACUCUGCAGAGGGUGUACACUUUUCCCACAAGUAGGGUACCGUAGCACGACCACCUUAGUGGCGGUACGGAUCCUAUCAAAGCCAUUACCCACCUUAGCUAAGACUGGCUAGUUCUCGCGGAAACACCCAAGGGGUUCACGGCUCGUCCCUGAGACCGUAACCGGGACCUAAGUCACCAAGAUCUUACUCCUUUUCCAUGGGUUCCCGUUGCUCUCCAGCACACCUGAGGACUAACAGUUUAGCUAGUGGGAUUUAUGCUAAGCCGUUGCCCAUACAACGGUCGAGUGGUUGCACGGUAGUGGAAUUAGGCGAGAUGACACAUCAACUCGGUCCUUAAUUACGACCGGAUGGAUAUCUCCCGACAUUGCUCAACCACCAAGGUACGAGCACAACAACGUGGCAUCCCACACAAGGAACACCCAUCCAUCCCGUCUACACAUUCCUUUUUCCCCGAACCCAAAAGCCAUUCCUCUUACUUGGACACACACACACAUUGAUUUUCCAAAUAUACCAUUGUAAUAAUGAUUGCAUUUGCGUAACAGAUUCCUAAGCGUUCUAGCGGUGGUUAUCAACUAAACAGAGCGAGUCAUAUUCAGAGAUAAGCAUAGGACAACAAGGAAUGUUUAUAUCAAUCAAGGGGUGGCUAACCAACCAUGUAUUGCGAUAAAAUAAUAUGCAUUUUGUAAAACAGGCCAAUAGGUCGUGUUUGAAAAACUAGGUAUUAAGUAUGCAUCAAAAGGGUGAGAUUGGACUUGCCGUCUUCAAAGCCUUCCGGGAGUUCCGGCUCGCGGUACUGGUCCUCGGGCUCGGGCUCGCGAUCAAACUCUUCCUCGGGCUCCUCCUC
rnacentral:lncRNA from 1 species